rnacentral:rRNA from 1 species
UACGGGGGGGAGCAAGCGUUGUUCGGAUUUACUGGGCGUAAAGGGCGCGUAGGCGGCGCAACAAGUCACUUGUGAAAUCUCCGGGCUUAACCCGGAGCGGUCAAGUGAUACUGUCGUGCUAGAGUGCGGAAGGGGCUACUGGAAUUCUCGGUGUAGCGGUGAAAUGCGUAGAUAUCGAGAGGAACACCAAUGGCGAAGGCAGCUCUCUGGGAACGGUAACUGACGCUGAGACGCGAAAGCGUGGGGAGCGAACAGG